AUGAAAGUCAUGGUUUGAGCAGUGCUCGCAGGGCGGAUCAACCUCGGAAGCAGGAAGAUUUCUUUCCGGGGCCACUUCCAUUAGUGCGGUUGAAUCCCAGAUUCGAUUGGGCUGAUGAUGAACGUGACACUGGACAUGGAUUUGCAGAUAGGGCCAGAGAUAUUGGUAUUUCAAAAGUUGAUAACUAUUGGGAUAGAGAUUUUGAUAUGCCUCGAACUAGUGUUUUACCCCUUAAACCUGUUCAUAACCAAUAUGAAAGGAGGGCUCCUAGAGAGACCCUGACUGGGAAUGGGUUUUCCACUGACCAGAGAGGGGACAGUUAUAGCAGGGAUCUGAGAACACCUAGUAGAGAAGGUAGGGAAGCAAGCACAUGGAGGAACUCAAUUCAUUCUAGAGAUGGUAAUGUUCCAUACAUAGCUAACGACAGAAAUGCUGUUAGCUUGGGUGGAUCUGUUGUUAACAAGGAUUUAGGGAAAGAUAACAAAUAUGUUCCGCCACAUUUUGGGGACACUGCUCGUGAUGGAAGUUUUACUGGAAAUCAGGAUUAUUCAUAUGGAAGGAAGGACAUGGGUCUUAUUACUGACGGCAAACAACGCCGGAAUCAUGCAAAUGAAACAUCCAACAGUCGAGGGGUUGAGCGCAUGACUCAAGAUCGCCUUGGGAGUGAACUGUCCAGCAGAUACAGGCGUGAUGGAUUUCAGAACAUCGCUGGGCCAAAAUCUUCGUUCUCAUCUGUUGGGAAAUCACUGCCUCUGGGUGACCCUGUUCUGAAUGUGGGCAGGGAUAAAUAUGUUUCAAGGGGCGAAAGGCCAUACAAAGAGGAUCCAUACUUGAAAGACUUCGAAUCUGCAGGAUUUGAUGAAAGGGAUCUCUUUUCCGGAGGACUUGCUGGGGUGAUCAAGAGAAAAAAGGAUGUAGUUAAGCAGACUGAUUUCUAUGACCCUGUGAGAGAAUCCUUCGAGGCUGAAUUGGAGCGAGUUCAAAAGAUGCAAGAGCUUGAGCGACAACGAGUUAUGGAAGAACAAGAAAGAGCAUUGGAGCAAUCUCGAAGGGAGGAAGAGGAGCGACUGAGACUGAUUAGAGAAGAGGAAGAACGUCGGCUAAAGUUGGAAGAAGAAGCACGAGAAACUGCUUGGAGGGCAGAGCAAGAGCGCCUUGAUGCAGUAAGAAGAGCUGAAGAGCAGAGAAUUGCGAGAGAGGAAGAGAAAAAGAGGAUCUUCAUGGAGGAAGAAAGAAGGAAGCAGGCUGCUAAACAAAAGCUUUUGGAAUUGGAGGCCAAGAUAGCCAAGAGGCAGACUGAAGUAACAAAAACUGAUACCUUAAUUGUCACUACUGAAGAGAAAAUAUCUGCCAUGAGUAAGGACAUAGAUAUUUCAGGGGCAUCUGAUGUGGAUAAUUG
rnacentral:misc_RNA from 1 species